rnacentral:rRNA from 1 species
GCAGUCGAGUGCGCGGUUGUAGCAAUACAACUGGCGCACGGCGCACGGGUGCGUAACACGUGGGCAAUCUGCCCUCCGAUGGGGAAUAACCCCGCGAAAGCGGGGCUAAUUCCGCAUAACAUUCCCUGGACUCUGGUUCGGGGAUUCAAAGCAGCAAUGCGUCGGAGGAGGAGCCCGCGCCCGAUUAGCUAGUUGGUGAGGUAACGGCUCACCAAGGCAAUGAUCGGUAGCUGGUCUGAGAGGAUGGCCAGCCACACUGGAACUGAGACACGGUCCAGACUCCUACGGGAGGCAGCAGUGGGGAAUCUUGCGCAAUGGGCGAAAGCCUGACGCAGCGACGCCGCGUGGGGGAUGAAGCUUCUCGGAGUGUAAACCCCUUUCGACCGGGACGAAUGCCCGCAAGGGAGUGACGGUACCGGUAGAAGAAGCCCCGGCUAACUACGUGCCAGCAGCCGCGGUAAGACGUAGGGGGCCAGCGUUGUUCGGAAUUACUGGGUGUAAAGGGUUCGUAGGCGGUGUGGCAAGUCGGGAGUGAAAUUUCUGGGCUUAACCCAGAGGCUGCUUCCGAAACUGCUGUGCUCGAGUGUGGGAGAGGCGCGUGGAAUUGCAGGUGUAGCGGUGAAAUGCGUA